rnacentral:rRNA from 11 species
GUAUAUCCCAAUACAUCCCCGAAAGGCACUGGAUCCCAUCUGUUCUGGGAAGCUAAGCAGGGUAAGCUCCGUUUAUUACAUGGAUGGGAGACCGAGUCUUCCAACGAAUGGGAUCAACU